GGUAAAGGUCAACUGGGCUGCUGGGAAACCUGCCCCAGUGCGAGGGCCCGGAGGCCCAACGAGGCCAGAAGCCGUAGUCCCAAAUUCAAGAACUACUAACAAGGACACAGGAGGCCUGAGAAGGCGGAAGAAUUAGCCCUGACAGUCACUAGAGCGCAGUCCAGGAAUGGGAGCGCAAGUAAGGCGAAGGUCCAUCCAAAUGGCUACCCUUCUCCCUUCUGUGAGUCUCCCGGUCCCCUGUCCCUAGCCCACCUCAUUCAUGGCCUCAUCAACGUCCGUCCUCAUUGAGGUGCCGAGAAGCCCUGUCUGCGGAGGGCUACCUGGGCUCCCAGACUUGGCACCAGAACACCCGCCAGAGAGGGGAGCUGGCAGAUCUGGCCGGGACCGGGGUGGACCCUAGCGAUCACUCCUCCCGUAACUCAGAGGUUACUGGCCUGGGCUGACCCGACCUGCUCGCCGGGACCGCGCGCUCACCUGCGGCCCAGCCCACACUCCCCAGUGCGGCCCCCGCUCUCCGCCCGCUCGCCGGGAGCACGGAAGUCGCCGCACCCAGCGGCCCGCGGGACCUUGCCCUGUGACCCUGCCCACUGGCCGCCGGCUCUCUCGGAGCGCAGGGAUUGGCUGAACUUCAGCCAAAGGACGGAAGGAAGCUAGGCGUCCGCAACUGGGCCCCACUGCGCUGAAAUGGACGUCGCGCCCUCUGUUGGCCGGGAGGUUUCUCAGUGAUGUCGCCACGUGUUUUCUGCGUGGAAAAAGUGAAAGAUCAUCCAGUCAUUUUUUUCAACUGAUGUUUAUUAGGCGUCUUCUAAGACCUAGGUCUGGGCACGCAAAAACAAAAGACAUGAUCCCUGACCUCAAGAAGCUCUUCUUAGAAGAGUAUAUUUUAGUGCUUUAAGACCUCUUGGGAUCCGGGCUAGCUUUCUAGUGACCUUGGGAACAUUAUUAACCUGUCUGAGCCUCCCUUCCCCUUCUGUGUAGAGGUAAUAACACCCAUUUCGCAAGGAUGGUGUGAGGGUUGGAAGAGAUAAUAUUUGUAAAGUACUGUGGCAGGCACACAGCCAGCAGGGAAAUAAAUGUGGCUAUUGUUAGUGUAAAAA
rnacentral:lncRNA from 1 species